GGGGGGGGGGGGGGGGGGGCCGGGCACGGGCAAGUCGGGCGGUAACGGGCCUUCGGGGGCCGACGAGUGGCGGACGGGGGGGUAAUACAUCGGAACGUGCCCGAUCGUGGGGGAUAACGAGGCGAAAGCUUUGCUAAUACCGCAUACGAUCUACGGAGGAGAGCAGGGGACCGCAAGGCCUUGCGCGGACGGAGCGGCCGAUGGCAGAUUAGGUAGUUGGUGGGAUAAAAGCUUACCAAGCCGACGAUCUGUAGCUGGUCUGAGAGGAUGAUCAGCCACACUGGGACUGAGACACGGCCCAGACUCCUACGGGAGGCAGCAGUGGGGAAUUUUGGACAAUGGGCGCAAGCCUGAUCCAGCCAUGCCGCGUGCAGGAUGAAGGCCUUCGGGUUGUAAGCUGCUUUUGUACGGAACGAAAAGCCUUCUUUUAAUACAGGAGGGUCAUGACGGUACCGUAAGAAUAAGCACCGGCUAACUACGUG
rnacentral:rRNA from 1 species